AUAAUACUUUCUCCGUUUGGAAAUACUUGUUCUAUAAAUAAAUGUAUGUAGACUUAUUUUAGUUAUAGAUACAUUCAUUAUAUCCAUUUGUAGGACAAGUAUUUCCGGACGAAGAGAGUACUAG
rnacentral:pre_miRNA from 1 species